rnacentral:rRNA from 1 species
CCUACGGGGUGCAGCAGUGGGGAAUAUUGGACAAUGGGCGAAAGCCUGAUCCAGCCAUGCCGCGUGUGUGAAGAAGGCCUUCGGGUUGUAAAGCACUUUCAGUGGGGAAGAAAGCCUUGGGGCUAAUACCCUCGAGGAAGGACAUCACCCACAGAAGAAGCACCGGCUAACUCCGUGCCAGCAGCCGCGGUAAUACGGAGGGUGCGAGCGUUAAUCGGAAUUACUGGGCGUAAAGCGCGCGUAGGCGGUCUGAUAAGCCGGUUGUGAAAGCCCCGGGCUCAACCUGGGAACGGCAUCCGGAACUGUCAGGCUAGAGUGCAGGAGAGGAAGGUAGAAUUCCCGGUGUAGCGGUGAAAUGCGUAGAGAUCGGGAGGAAUAUCAGUGGCGAAGGCGGCCUUCUGGACUGACACUGACGCUGAGGUGCGAAAGCGUGGGUAGCAAACAGGAUUAGAUACCCUAGUAGUC